rnacentral:lncRNA from 10 species
UCACGUUGUAGCAAAGACACCUUUAGCAGAUGCUGGCACUAUGCUCUUGGACUUUCCAGCCUCCAGAAUGGGACCAACGCAUUCUCUCAUGGACACUUCCUGGGGCAGCCUUUUGCAAAUUGCUCAUCUAACAAUCGAGAAAAUGAGGAAGGUGUUUACUUCAAAAUAAUCUUAGAAAUUGACAACAUGAAAUGGCUUGUGGAUCAAAUGAUUAUCAGAAGACCAAGGAGUCAAGAAGAAAUAGCUACAGAAGAUAGAAAGGACCAAGUUUAAUCUUCCUGUAAAUUCUAAAUCCUGCAAUGUACACAUCAGACUGAACAUACAAGAUUAAAAGGUAACUGCCUCUACUGAAGAAGGGAGAGUCAAUAGCCUUUGGAAAGAUGCUCAGGAGGGAAUCAGGUGGGGGAAGAGAGAGAAAGAGAGGAGAUAUUGAUGAGAGGAACGCCUAGUACACCAGACCCACUAGUUCAGAGAUAUGUUAGGGAUGUUGCCUCCAUCCUCUCUCCUAACUCUCAUAUUGACUCAUAAGAGCAAACAAAAGCCACACUUGACAAAUGGGAUCUAAUUAAGCUAAAGAGCUUCUGCACAGC